rnacentral:rRNA from 1 species
AAAGAGCCGUUCGAGACUAGGACGUUGAUAGGUUGGAUGUGGAAGCAUAGUGAUAUGUGAAGCUGACCAAUACUAAUUGCUCGUGAGGCUUGACUAUACAACACCCAAGCAGUUG